UUACUAAAUGUAUAUUUCUACACUUUUAUGUUGCAUAUGACUUAGUCAUUGUUCGAUACUUCUAGUAAUAAAUACUUUGUCUUGACCGCAAUUAUCCAGUUCGACUUUUAAGAAGCUCAAGGUCAAUCCUCCUUUUUUUCAGGGUUAAUGUACUUGUUGUGUUCUGACAAUCUGUCACGAACACACCAUAAAGGAAUCUACAAACAUUUUGGAGAGAAACAUUAUGGAUAUUAUGAUGUAUUUAUGGAUUCUUGAUGAAUUUAACAAAUGGAAAAAUUUAAAAGAAUAUAUAGUUAAGGAUUAAUGAUAUUAAACAUAAUUUUUAAUUAUUAGUUAAUACACAUUUAUGGCUUCAUACAAAAUAUAGGCUCGAAGGAUUAAUUUCUCUGCAAAUAAUGUAUUUGCAUUUUAAAAUAGCUGCAAUGUGAAUGAUAAAAAAUAUACAAAGUUUAACACAAAACACCAUCCUACAAUGAGAGCUUCUCUGCAAGUUAUGCAUUUAAAAGAAAGAGGAAACGUUUCAUUUAAUACCUAUAGGAUCCAGAAUACGAUUUAGCAUAAGCAUACGUGCAAAAAGUUUUCAUUAUCCACAAGAUAUGUGUUGGUUUUAAAUAUUAAACACAAUUGUUAAAGUGGUUGUAUAACUGAAUGGCGUUUAUGUUUUCGAAUGUCAUGUCUGAAUAGGUAGGUAAUGUAGUUGACUGUUAAGACCGUUAAGUUGUAACUUGUUUUUGUUACCAAUAAAAGAUAUACGUUGUGCUUUGCGAUAGACAA